UCGACUUCUCGGCCUUUGGCCUAAGAUCAAGUGUAGUAUCUGUUCUUAUCAGUUUUAAUAAUCUGAAUAUGCUCCUCCAUGCUGAGGACUACAUAUUAAACGCAUUUUUAGCACUGGGAGCCUGAACGAGCGGGCUUGCUCCUUUCACUCCACGCAUUCACCUGGCAUCUGCAGUGCCGCUACGGGAACGCGAUGCAC